rnacentral:rRNA from 1 species
UACAGAGGUCCCAAGCGUUGUUCGGAUUCACUGGGCGUAAAGGGUGCGUAGGUGGUGAGGAAAGUCGGAUGUGAAAUCUCCGGGCUUAACCCGGAAACUGCAUUGGAAACUACCUUGCUAGAGGUUUUGAGGGGGGACUGGAAUUCUCGGUGUAGCAGUGAAAUGCGUAGAUAUCGAGAGGAACACCAGUGGCGAAGGCGAGUCCCUGUAAAACACCUGACACUGAGGCACGAAAGCUAGGGGAGCAAACAGG